UCGACCAUCCAGCUCGGCUGGGUCUUGGGCACCGCUCCUGAGCGGGCCUUAAAAGCAGUGGCAGUGCCGCCGGAUUCCCAAGCGUAGUAAGUAAUCCUCGCCACGGGAGUCUAGGCGUUAGCUAGCAACAAACCUCAUUUUCAUUCAGG
rnacentral:misc_RNA from 1 species